UCCCAUUCAAGGACUUGGAGGCUUAUAGAGGGUCGAUUGGAGAAAUAGGUAAUUUAAUUUAAAUUUUAUUAUAAAUUAAUUAUCAAUAAAUUAACAUUUCAUAUUCAAAUAUUUAGAUAUUUUAGCUGUCGCAAUCAAAAUUAAGCCAACUAAAGAGAUAACGACAGCAUCUGGACCAACAACGAUCCAGGAGAUUUAUGUUAUUGAUGAAAGCUUGAACCCCAUAUGUUUGACUAUGUGGGGUCGAUUUGUCCAAGACGAAUGUCAGAAAAUAUCAGAUAUUAUUGAAGAUAAGCCGAUAAUACUUGGAACAAAAAUAUCUGUUGGAUCAUAUAACGGAUUGUCUCUAUCAUCACGUCCAUCAAGUACCUUUAUAAUCAAUCCUCUUCUUCCUGAGGCAGCUGCAAUGAAGCGAUGGGCGGAGAAUAACGAUUUGAUAAUUAGAAGUAUUAUUGCAAGAUCCUUGACCUACCCAUCUGCACCACUGUCAUCUGUUGGUAUUCAGGAAAUUGUGAAGAAUUGUGAUAUUGCAGGGUUGAUUAAGGGUUUACAACCCAUGGCGGUAAAUAUUAUUUUAUUAGUAAUAAAUUAAAAUAUUUACACAAACAUUCAUUCUAAAAAUUGAUUAUAAUUUAAUGCAGAAAGCAAAAUUCUGGAUAA